UACGGAGGGUGCAAACGUUGCUCGGAAUCAUUGGGCGUAAAGCGCACGUAGGCGGCUCGUUAAGUCGGACGUGAAAUCCCUCAGCUCAACUGAGGACGUGCAUCCGAAACUGGCGAGCUUGAGUACUGAAGAGGAUCGCGGAAUUCCCGGUGUAGAGGUGAAAUUCGUAGAUAUCGGGAGGAACACCAGUGGCGAAGGCGGCGAUCUGGGCAGAUACUGACGCUGAGGUGCGAAAGCGUGGGGAGCAAACAGG
rnacentral:rRNA from 1 species